CUCAAGGUUUGUUUAUUGCAGCAAAUCUUGUGUUUCCAUUCAGAAAGAAGGAAGUUGCCUUGCCUGCAGGGAGAGGGAUGUAAUCACGGUAUGUGAAUAACCAUUUAACUACGUGCAUGAUAGUGAUAGGGGGCUAUCUUCAGUAUGGAGGCAUCAACCCCACCCUGACUGGUCAAACAGUGCUCUGUGUGUGUGUCGGGGGGGGAGCGGCAUCCAUCCCUUAUCCCUUCCCUGUUCUCAUUUCUCUUAUUGUAAGAAGUGCCUCACUCGUCCAGUACCCCUCCUCAUUUCAGCACGGCUCAGUGAGGAAUAAGACACUCUUCAGCAUGUGGAAAGGCAGGUUUGAGCCAUUCAGUACCAGAAGGCAUUUCUGUGGCAUGUCCAAGCCCAAACACAAAUUUUCAGGCAUUGACUGGAACUCCUGCCUUCUAACGAGGCUAAUAUUAGCCACAUAACACUGCUGCAUGAUUAGAGGAGAAAAGAGAAGUCAGAAACAGCUGUGUCCCCAAGCUACACUGCAGGCUAUAAUUUAAAUUAAGUUUGGCUCUAAUUCCUGAAUGUCAGUUCUGCCUCUUAAGAAGAACCCCGUGACUCCAGGUGUACCUGGAGUGAAAACUGUGGGAUGCCCAGAAACAGAAGUAACUCUGAAAAGGAGGCUUUCCUUCCAUAACUGUGGGACUGCCUGCAGCCCAGUGAUUUUAUUUUACAUUUCCAGAGCAGUUAUGGGACUGACGUAGUUGUUUUAACAUGGUCCAUCCUAAGAAUGCUGAACAUCAGUCUGGGACAAACCUUGCCUGCUCUCACUGUGACACCAGCACGGAAAGAAAGGAGAGAAGUGCCAUGCCCUGCAGAUGUGAGAUGCAAACCCAGCCAGAGCGUGCAGCCUUGGGUGAGACCGUGGCUCCUUGCAGCCCAUUCAUCUUCAUUACCUGCCUCAGCUGCCAGCAGCGACAGCAAAACAGCUCUCCAGACCAGCGCCACCGGUGGUUUUCCCUGUGGGAGGUGUUCCUGGUAGAACAAUUUGGUUUCUCCUCAGCCCCACCUAAUGCCCAGGCGGUAUCAGCCUGCCUGCCUCUGUGGGCUCCCCAGAUACAAGUGAGCUCCUUGGCCUGCCUGGCUGCCUUCCCCGAUCACCUACACGGCAGUAAUGCAGGCUGUGGUGCUACCCAUGCCUCUGCACCCAUGCUGCUGGGCCCCGGCGGGCUCCCUGGGCUGUAUUUACUCAAGAUGCUGGGCUGCAGUUUGCUCAUCCCUGCUCUACAGGGCUGCUUUGUCCACAAAAGCAACUGGGGAGCUGCAGCCAUGCAAAAUGUACCUGCAUCUAUUCGUGCGUGCGCGUGCUGUAUCCCACCUGCAGUACUUCAACACCUAGUUCUCUAACACGUCUGUCGCAACAAAUAUUCCAAUGUCAAAUUCUGUAUAAGCAAAAAAUCCCUUUUUUAUAUGCAAAGGUUUUUCAUGGAUCGGAAAUUAUUGCACCCAAUAGUUCUAUUUUGAAUCCAUAGUAAUUUCAGUCAUGAUUUAAGGCAUAGAUGAUGUUUGCUCAUUUACAGAAUCAGUCUUAGGCUUCCUUGUCGUUCAUUUUUC
ensembl:lncRNA